rnacentral:rRNA from 1 species
UACAGAGGGGGCUAGCGUUGUUCGGAAUUACUGGGCGUAAAGGGCGCGUAGGUGGCCUGUUAAGUCGAACGUGAAAUCCCCGGGCUCAACCCGGGAACUGCGUCCGAGACUGGCAGGCUCGAAUCCGGGAGAGGGAUGUGGAAUUCCAGGUGUAGCGGUGAAAUGCGCAGAUAUCAGGAGGAACACCGGUGGCGAAGGCGGUUCUCUGGGCAUGAUCUGACGCUGAGGAGCGAAAGUGUGGGGAGCGAACAGG